CCUACGGGUGGCAGCAGUGAGGAAUAUUGGUCAAUGGACGCAAGUCUGAACCAGCCAUGCCGCGUGCAGGAAGACGGCUCUAUGAGUUGUAAACUGCUUUUGUACGAGGGUAAACGCAGAUACGCGUAUCUGUCUGAAAGUAUCGUACGAAUAAGGAUCGGCUAACUCCGUGCCAGCAGCCGCGGUAAUACGGAGGAUUCAAGCGUUAUCCGGAUUUAUUGGGUUUAAAGGGAGCGUAGGCGGUCGGAUAAGUUGGAGGUGAAAUCCCAAGGCUCAACUUCGGAAUUGCAUCUGAUACUGUUCGGCUAGAGAGUAGUAGCGGUAGGCAGAAUGUAAGGUGUAGCGGUGAAAUGCGUAGAGAUCAUACAGAACACCGAUUGCGAAGGCGGCUUACCGAGCUACUUCUGACGUUGAGGCGCGAAAGCGUGGGGAGCAAACAGGAUUAGAUACCCGUGUAGUC
rnacentral:rRNA from 1 species